rnacentral:rRNA from 1 species
AGAAUCAACGCUGGCGGCGUGCCUAACACAUGCAAGUCGAACGAGAAAGGGUAGCAAUACCUGAGUAAAGUGGCGCACGGGUGAGUAACACGUGACUAACCUACCCUGGAGUGGGGGAUAACUGAGGGAAACCUUAGCUAAUACCGCAUAAUACCUACGGGUCAAAGGAGCAAUUCGCUUCAGGAGGGGGUCGCGGCCGAUUAGUUAGUUGGCGGGGUAAUGGCCCACCAAGACGAUGAUCGGUAUCCGGCCUGAGAGGGCGCACGGACACACUGGAACUGAAACACGGUCCAGACUCCUACGGGAGGCAGCAGUGGGGAAUUUGCGCAAUGGGGGAAACCCUGACGCAGCAACGCCGCGUGGAGGAUGAAGUCCUUCGGGACGUAAACUCCUUUCGAGUCGGACGAUUAUGACGGUACCGGAAGAAGAAGCCCGGCUAACUUCGCGCCAGCAGCCGC